UAGGUUCGGAAUGGGGUUAUUUGAAUCGACCGCCUCCAGCGGCGGCGCGUCGCCGCUAGGGUACGCCACCGUCGCAGCAGCAGCGAGUUCAAAACAAAACAUGGCCGGAGGUAAACAUAACGCCGCUUCCCCUGCCGCUCUACACGGCCAAACGUCUCAUCUCCCGCACCUGCCACGCUUCAUGGGACGACACCACCUUCAUGGGCCAGUACCGCACCAACUCCUCCCCACAGCCGUGGGUGAGGAAAACGUCCCGCGUCUAUACGUGGCCCUGACGCUCCUCCGCCUGGGCCCUGGGCCACACACGCCCCGGCGCUCACCUCCACCGCCUGGCCCCUGACCCUCACUGCCCCUGCUGGUGCAGGACCGUCGGGGACACCAUUGAGCACCUCCUGCUGCACUGCCCACGCCAUUACUCCCAGCGAGUGCUGCUCCGACACCACCUCCGCGCCCUGGACGUGCCCACCCUGCUGGCGGCGGCAGGCGUCCACCCCUUACGCCAGGAAGCUGUCAUCCGCCUCACCUGCGCCUUCCUCAGGAAGACGGGGCAGCAGACGUGCAUGUGAAGCCCUCACAGGACGACACCAGGGCUCAUGUGAGCGACUAGAUCGCCGCUGCCCAAAGCAGCAACGAGACGUGGGUUCACUGCUGGUUGUUGUGUGAGAUGAACAGAGACCUUGGGUGGACAACUGCCUCUACCACAAGCAUGGACAGGUCAAAGGUGAUGGCUUUAAGGCCAGUUGUGGGUGGAGGAAAACACUAUUGGAUGGAAGUCAAUGUCUCACACUGACAACAAUCAAAGGAGGCUUGCUUUCUGCUCAGAUGCCUGGCCCCCAAAUGUUCUGAUAAAUUUCGCCGAAGGCGACAAAGAUUCACCCAAAGCAGGUACUCUGCAUAUAAUGUAAUGUAAACUUUUUUUUUAAAAGCUCUUUUCUGCUUGGAUUUCACAGGUCUUUCAUGCAUGAACAAUUUGGGAUGCACUGGAGAUGCUUAAUUGCUUCAUUCUGCAUAUUCACAUCAAAUGAUAGAUAUGCUAUAUAAAACUAGUUAGAUAAAAUUGAAUGUUUCUUUACAGUAGGGCUGGAUUGUUGUAAACCAGAGUCCUGACCUCCAACCAGGUCCCUAAGCUAAUCUCACUGCCCCCCCAACUCCUCCCUUACAGGUGUUAUAUGCACAGGCUUCAGCAAAUUAUUCUAAAUACAGGUUAAGGUCAAUCUUCAUAAUUUCAUCGACACAUGGUCCUAGGAGCUCCCACCAGGGGAUGGCCACAGCAGAAAAGUUUCAAUCUUUCUCUAUCCAGACACUCCCUCCUUGCCUGCUCAAAGUUUCUCAGAACUUUCCCCCCUCUCCCUAACUUACUCUUGCACCCUAUCCCUCCAUUUCACUGGAGGUCGUCCUCUAGCAUUCCCUCUAUCUCGCUCACAUACACCCUUCUGGUCAUCUCGCUCUCUUCCAUUCGCUCAAUGUGGCCAAACCAUUUUAAAGUCUGUCUCUUCACUUCUUCCACCACUCCACACCUUUUCCCUUCACCCCUGUGACACAUUCCAAAACGUUCAUACACACUUUCAUUACUUAUUCCAUCCAUUCUACUCAAACCACAAGCACUCUUCAAAUAACUUUUCCACUGCCUGCACUCUAGACCUCUGACUUUCAUUCCAGGUUCAUAUUUCACUUGCAUAUGUGAGGGUUGGUACUAUUAUUGUAUUUCUCAAAUCCCUCUUUACCUCCAUGCUCACAGUUCUGCUAUUCAUGAUAUGUCCCGAAGAUCUUAUCACCCUCUUGUCUCUCCCUCUGUACCACCAUGCUUGCACAUAACUGAUCAAGAUACUUAAACUCAUUAACAACCUCCAUUUCUUCACCGUUCAAAAUUAUUUUGCAUUUUUUUUCACAUUCAGUUCCCACUUUAUAUGGGCAUACAAAAUCUACAACCUCACUUCUACUCUGCUCACAAACCAUCACUUUACUUUUGUUGACAUUUACUUUCAGCUUUCUCCUUUUACAUACCCUAUCAAAAACACUGACCAAGUUUUGUCAGUCACUUUCAUUUUCUGCAAUGAGCACUGUCAUCAGCAAAUAAGAUUGAAUUCAGCACCCACUUCCUUCCCUCAGCGUACAUUUUCACUUUACCCUUCAUUUCUCUAAUAACACCAUCCAUAUAAAUAUUGAACAACCAUGGUGACAUGUCACACCCCUGCCUUAAGCCCAAUUUUAUAUGAAAAUGUUCACCUGUUUCUCCACUAAUUUUGACACAUGCAGAUGCAUUUUUGACAUGCAGAUGCAUUUUUGGGACCGCCGCCAUCUUUAAAGUCAUUUCCUGCCCAGACUUCACUGCGAGCACAUGUCCCUCUCUAGCCUUCGGGUUUUUCAGCCUUGUAGUAUCCGCAUGUCCAGAGUGACUGUGUACUAAGGUCAGGGAAGCCCGUGGGAGGGGUGAGGGCACGGCGUUGCAGUGAGGAACGAGAGAGGAUUGAAGGACUCCAAGGCUCCAGACACGAGGCAGAUCAGGGUGUGGCUUCCCCCUUCUCCACCUACAGCUAAGUAACCAUUUGCUAGGAUGUUUUAGGAUAACUACUAGGUUGCUGUGUGCUUGGUGUUAAUUAAUUCUUAAUUUCCAGCGAGUUUCUUUGUUUUCUAUAAACUUAAGAGCAGGUU